GAAAAGAGAAAUUUGAUGGAACAAAGAAAAUCACUCACCGAAUGAGAAACACUCAAUUGGGAAUAAAACCAAAAACAAAAAGAACUGAGUAAAGGAAAUGAAAAAGAAAAAGAAAUGUAAAUGAUAUGUUAGAACAGACACAGUGAAAAGAAUAAUGACAUUGACUCUGAAUCCAAAAACCAUUUCUACCUCUUUCAUAUCCCAUCUCACCCCAAGCC
rnacentral:lncRNA from 1 species